CAGGAGGUAUUGUCACUGAGAAGAGAAGUCGCCUAGGUCAAAAAAGUCUAGAUUACCUCACCUUUAUUAAGAUGAAUGAGGGAUGGAUCCCGAAGGGACUGACACUGGGCGAUACAUUAGAUUAAAAAAAGGCCUGAUGAGAUGAGCUGCCUUGGGCUAAAAAUGGUCCACACGCUGCUGUAUUUUAGCUCUGAAUGCCUGUUGACUUGCGUGACUGAUCCGCCACUAACUUGGGUUCAAGCCGUCAUCUUUUAGGGCACUUUCUGCCUGUGAAACAAACAUCAG